AGACGAUCCCACAGCCUGGGAAGAAGGGUCUGGGGCUCUGCAGAGCCAAAGGAAAGAGAGCAACCGGAUUUUCUAGAAGGCACAGUCUGCACAAGCGGCCAGCCGACAGGUCGCCUUGCUGAAGAAGCCACAUAACCUGAUAUAAGUCAGCUCUGGAUCUGUUCUCUCGCCCCACCCCCAGAGCCGUCCUGGAAGACAUGGGUGUCCAGUGGGCUGCUUGAAGCCAUGCAGCGCAGCAGGACUGUGGGGAUGGGCCCUUCGAUGAUCUCGCCCUUUGAAAGACCACCAAUUUCCAGCCCUCCGAGCAGUAUUCUGAUUAUGAACUUGUUUUCCUUCUUCUAUUUAAGAGGUUUGGGGACCUUAGAUCUCAGAGCACAGGUAUCCGGAGAGUGUGGAGUCAGAAAAACAGCAAGAGGAAUGAAUAUCCAGGAAGCAAGUCAUCAAGCGGAGCCCACACACAGCAGGAAGCUGGGGCAGGAGGCAAGAUAAAGCUGUACCUCCUGGAGGGCCAAGUGUCUGCAUAACUGUCAUUCUUCUCCUGUGCUUGAAGAUCACAUGCAUCGCCAAGCUCGAGAUGAGAACAUGAGAUGACUCAGUGCAAAUCUUUGCCACAACUGGAACCAAGAGCACGUGUGGGACUCUGAGGAGGGCCUUGUCCUCCCCCUGUGCCUGAGUCACGAUCCUCAUGAAUGGACCACUCACCAUGCUGGACGUGGGAGAGUGUGGGUUUCUGUGGGGGAGUGUGUUCUGUAAAAUGGAAAUAUAAGAGAGCCAAACUCAGAAUCAUUUGAAGCCCGGUGAAAAGGAAUCUUAGGUUUUGUGUUUCCUGCCUUGGUAGAAAGAGAUCAGUCAGAGAAAAAAAGUUCAUAUCAAGAAUUUUUUUUUCCUUCAAAACCUGAAACAAACCAACCAUAAGUAAAACAGAGAAUUUCAAGCUUCAACUCAACUUACUUGUUUACUUCCUGUUCAUUCCAGAUUGUCAGGAAAAACAGAUCGUCAAAGUGGUACUCCAUGGUGUAUGUGUACUGAACUGCGUACAAGCCUAUGUCCUUGUGUUUUCAAGCAAAAACCUUUUCAUUUAAGCCUUUAGCCUCCCAGGCCUCAAGAUUUGAAAAUGAGGAAAUACUGAUACAGCUACAAACUAGUUGAAACAGUCUCCAUUAUGCUAGGACUUGCCUUGACCCACUAACUUACUCAAACUAGCCUUUCACAAAUGAUUUCCUCCUUGCUUAAUUGCUUUCUUUUACUAAUGAUUACUUUCUAGUUAAGGUUAUAUUGUAUGCCUAGUGUUUUCUUUUCCUUUGAGACACUCCCUAAGUCCCCAUUCCUUCCAUGAGCCAUCUUCUCUGCAGAGAGAAGGUCAAGGCGAGAUAACCCCAAAGACCACCAGAAACCAUCACUGGACACAUGACUUGAGCCUUGAUGAUUCUGAGGUGGUCUUUGGAGGGAGAAGAAUACAGGCACCUUGAUCCCUAUCAACAGCCCUUUUGUCUUCCAAGCUAAACCUAUAAAAAUCCCUUGCUAUCCCCUCUCAAGAGAGGACACUGUUUUUAGGGCAUUAGCCUGCUGUGGCCUCCUUUGCCUGGCAAAGCAAUAAAGUUGUCCUCUCUACUUCACC
ensembl:lncRNA